rnacentral:lncRNA from 1 species
GUGACAAUUGGUGUGUGCUGGGACAUCUGGAACAUCUCCCUGGGCCCUAGUUUGAACUUAUAAUAAGAACAAGACAAGAUAGUUGGCUGGGUUAGAAAUGCAGUUCUGGACUAAGGAACAGUAAUUCUCAGGGUGAAGCCAAACAAGUCCAUAGAUUGAAUCUUGAUUCUGUCCUUAUUUACUUACUCUAAAUGACCAUAACAUAGAUAACCUGUUUUGUUUGUUAUUGUUUUUGUUAGCGAUGAUCAUGCUUUCAUAAUACCAAGAGGAAAAGCCAAGAAGUAAUAAUAAUAUCUCCAGAUGAUUCAAGAAAUGGGGCUGCCUCAUGAAAACAGGAAAUGCACAGUCGCCUCAGGUCAGCACACAAGGAAACAAAUCCCAAGACACAAGUGCACAGGUGAAGCUUUGGAGAGUAUUUACUAAGAACUGUACACCCAAGUGAGGUAAGUCACAGGAAGGUUUCCUUUUUUACCCCCUAGCUUUAUUGAGAUACAAUUGACAAACAAAAUUGUAAGAUAUUUAAAGUGUACAGUGUGAUGGUACACACACGUGUGUGUAUAUAUAUAAACAUUGUGAAAGGAUUCCCACCAUUGAGUUAAUUAACACAUCCAUCACCUAACAUAUUUACUUUUUUAUGAUGAGAACACUUAAGUUCUACUCUUUUAGCAAAUUUUAAUUAUACGAUACAGUAUUAUCAACUAUAGUCAACAUGUUAUACAUUGGAUCCUCAGACUUUAUUCAUCUUAUAACUGAAAGUUUGUACCUUUUUACCAGCCUCUCCUUAUAUCCCCUACCCUCCAGCUCCUAGCAACAACCAUUCUACUCUCUGUUUCUAUGAAUUUCACUUUUCUUUUUGAUUCCACAUAUAGGUGAUACC